rnacentral:rRNA from 1 species
UACGGAGGAGGCAAGCGUUAUCCGGAAUUAUUGGGCGUAAAGCGUCCGUAGGUGGUUUAGUAAGUCUGCUGUUAAAGCGCGGGGCUUAACUCCGUAUCGGCAGUGGAAACUACUAGACUAGGGUGUGGUAGGGGUAGAGGGAAUUCCCAGUGUAGCGGUGAAAUGCGUAGAUAUUGGGAAGAACACCGGUGGCGAAGGCGCUCUACUGGGCCAUAACUGACACUGAUGGACGAAAGCGAGGGGAGCGAAAGGG